rnacentral:rRNA from 1 species
AUGAACAAGGUUUCCGUAGGUGAACCUGCGGAAGGAUCAUUAUCGAGUUUUUGGUUAGGUUGUCGCUGGCCGCAAGGCAUGUGCACACCUACCUCGUCCACUCUCAACUUCUGUGCACUAUCGCAUGUAAGGUUGGCUUUGUGACGGAGGCUGGCUUCGCGGCUGGUCGUCGUUGUAUCGCUGCCUUGUGUGUUUCUUACUACAAACGCUUCAGUUAUAGAAUGUCUUUAUUUGCGGAUAACGCAACUAUAUACAACUUUCAGCAACGGAUCUCUUGGCUCUCGCAUCGAUGAAGAACGCAGCGAAAUGCGAUAAGUAAUGUGAAUUGCAGAAUUCAGUGAAUCAUCGAAUCUUUGAACGCACCUUGCGCUCCUUGGUAUUCCGAGGAGCAUGCCUGUUUGAGUCUCAUGGAAUUCUCAAGCUUACAGUUUUGUUACUGCAAGGCUUGGACUUGGAGGUCGUGUCGGCUCUCGCGAGUCGACUCCUCUGAAAUGCAUUAGUGCGGACGUUACCGGUCGCUUCAGCGUGAUAAUUAUCUGCGCUGCCGUCGACGGGUAUGUGAAGUACGCGCUUCUAACCGUCCUUCACGGGACAAUACGUUGAAACUCUGAGCUCAAAUCAGAGUUCCGUUUAUUUUGUUCUUUAUCUUUUCUACUGG